AUUGAACGCUGGCGGCAUGCUUUACACAUGCAAGUCGAACGGUAACAGGUUAAGCUGACGAGUGGCGAACGGGUGAAUAAUGCAUCGGAACGUGCCCGAUCGUGGGGGAUAGCGCAGCGAAAGCUGCGCUAAUACCGCAUACGAUAUGAGGAUGAAAUCGGGGGACCGGAAGGCUUCGCGCGUUAGGAGCGGCCGAUGUCAGAUUAGGUAGUUGGUGGGGUAAAGGCUCAACAAGCUAACGAUCUGUAGAUGGUCUGAGAGGACGACCAGCCACACUGGGACUGAGACACGGCCCAGACUCCUACGGGAGGCAGCAGUGGGGAAUUUUGGACAAUGGGCGAAAGCCUGAUCCAGCAAUGCCGCGUGCAGGAAGAAGGCCUUCGGGUUGUAAACUGCUUUUGUACGGAGCGAAAAGGUCUCCUCUAAUACAGGGGGCUCAUGACGGUACCGUAAGAAUAAGCACCGGCUAACUACGUACCAGCCGCCGCCGUAA
rnacentral:rRNA from 1 species